UACGUAGGGUGCAAGCGUUAAUCGGAAUUACUGGGCGUAAAGCGUGCGCAGGCGGUUUUGUAAGUCAGAUGUGAAAUCCCCGGGCUUAACCUGGGAACUGCGUUUGAAACUACAAGGCUAGAGUGUGGCAGAGGGGGGUGGAAUUCCACGUGUAGCAGUGAAAUGCGUAGAGAUGUGGAGGAACACCGAUGGCGAAGGCAGCCCCCUGGGUUAACACUGACGCUCAGGCACAAAAGCGUGGGGAGCAAACAGG
rnacentral:rRNA from 1 species